GCCCGCAUAGCUCAGCCGGUAGAGCAUCAGACUUUUAAUCUGAGGGUCGUGGGUUUAAGUCCCUCUGCGGGCG
rnacentral:tRNA from 1 species